AAGAAAUGUCUUUGAGUGACUGAUGGUGAAAAAUUCAAGCUGGCCACAGCCUUAGUUCCAGGGCAGCUGAAGAAAUAUUUUCAGUGGUGCCGAUGUCUUGACUAUCAUACCUCAGAGGUUCCCCAAACUCAGUGCUACAUGUAUCCUUGGAGGAAAGAGAGAAGCUGGGAGUGAAUGAGAUCAAGUUUUUGUUUAUUUGAAAGAAGACUCUCUCCAAGUGCAUUCAAUCAGGGAUGACAGUAAAUAUUUAUUCUGGUAGUUUGAAAAGGAGUUACAUGUUUAUAGGAAGGAGAAGAGCUGGCUGCUUGGGAUGGCCAUGGCCUAUAUCUUCCCUUCCUGGACAAAUUUGGAGUCUUUGGUAGAUGUGUGUUUGAUGGACAUCGAAAAUCCCAGUUGUGGAUUUAUAGGUGGUCCUUCUGAGAGAGAGAAUAUGAAAGGUA